rnacentral:lncRNA from 1 species
CCAGUCGGGCCAGUCCGCAGUCAGGUCGUCCGGGAAAGGGGCCAUGCCAAAAUCAUCGUCCAGCAAGCGGGUAGACAGGCCUGACUCCCUGAAAGGGUCUCUCCUCAGGCGGGAAGAAGGGUAGGUGCAAGAAAAAGGCAUUUGGCCAUCGGCCAUGGCUGCGGGCCUGGGUCAGGGCAGAGUGGCCCCCCUCCGACUCCCAAACAGUGGCAAGAGCCUUAGCUGGGCACUAUGGGCCCAGGACAGCAGUUAACAGUUGAGUCUUCUGGCCCUGCCUCUGGCUCCCUGUGUGGCUUCUCAGCAAAUAACCAUCCAAGGCCCCUCCCCAAAACCAGAGUCCACCCUCAGAGAGGCUGCUUCAGCCCUGGGGGGAGGAUACGGAUGCCAAACCGGAGCGACAGGAAUCCCUCCAGAUAUGCCCUCCCCUUGCCAAAACUCUCCAAGGGCUUUAAACCCAGGCAAGUGAAGGUGGAUAGAGGGAGGGGAGAGACCAGCGAGUGCCCAGUGGCUUGCAGAUGGCAGAAGUGCCCAGCCCCCCCCUUCAGACCUCGGGGUGGAUUCUCUCUGGAGACCAGGCAGGCAAGCAGAGGGACACACACAAUGAGGGAUAAUUAG